UUUGUUUAUCACUUGAUUCGCGUUUAAAUUGUAAUUAUGGACACAAUUAAAAUGUAAUUUAGCGAAAAUUACGACGAUGGACUCGACUGUUAUAACCGGAAAUACAAUUUUGGCGGUUAAUAAAUGAACAUCUAGUGGCGCCAUCUACUGACAUUUAAAAUUCAAAAUUUAAUAUUUUGAAUUUAAAAGAGACUGUAAUAUUCUAGUUGACGAUUGGAAUGUACAUAUUUUGUUUUUAAAACUUUUUAUGAAUUUUUCUUAUAAUAAGAUUUUUAAUAACAAAACUCAUCAUUUUUCAUAAUAGAGUUCAGGGCCUGAAUCAACCAAUGGUAGCGCUGUUAGCGAAAUAUGACAUUUCCGAGUAAACUAUUGAACACAUUUUAUAAAAUUGAAAGCAAUAUUCAAACGUUUUUCAUGAUAUUUCUGUUAAUCAGAUGUAUCUUUAACUGUCCUGUGAAAUAAGAUAAGAUGAUUAUUCAGGACUACUGAGGAUUUUAAGAAAAUGUUACUAAUCGCAAAAUGUUGGUUAUAGAAUAUUCAGAGCAGAGUUUUCGCGGGGAUGCCGCUGGUAUAAUUUGUCAAGCGUGGCCGAAGGAAAGAGCGACGGCUUCGAGCGAGGAAAUUUAUGGGUCGCAACGUGUCGACGGAAACCUUAAAUUUUAACGUCCCUGUCGCGUACUCGGCCGGGCCCUGCCUUGCCUGUUAAGGACCUUGUGAAGGGGGAUUACGACUUGACUGCUACGAAGCGAGCGUGGAACACCGAGGGGUGGUCUCUCCUCUCUCUUCGCGGUGGGGGAGAAUCAGAGAAGUAUGGUGGUGGUUCUGUGGCAGGGAAGGGGGUGGCGUUGCGACGGUGCCACAGGAAAAG